UAGGGAAUCUUCCGCAAUGGACGCAAGUCUGACGGAGCAACGCCGCGUGAGUGAAGAAGGAUUUCGGUUCGUAAAACUCUGUUGUUAGAGAAGAACAGCGCAUAGAGUAACUGUUAUGCGUGUGACGGUAUCUAACCAGAAAGCCACGGCUAACUACGUGCCAGCAGCCGCGGUAAUACGUAGGUGGCAAGCGUUGUCCGGAUUUAUUGGGCGUAAAGCGAGCGCAGGCGGUCAAUUAAGUCUGAUGUGAAAGCCCCCGGAUCAACCGGGGAGGGUCAUUGGAAACUGGUUGACUUGAGUGCAGAAGAGGAGAGUGGAAUUCCAUGUGUAGCGGUGAAAUGCGUAGAUAUAUGGAGGAACACCAGUGGCGAAGGCGACUCUCUGGUCUGUAACUGACGCUGAGGUUCGAAAGCGUGGGUAGCAAACAGG
rnacentral:rRNA from 1 species